UGAACGCUGGCGGUAGGCCUACCACAUGCACGUCGACCGGCAGCACAGUAAGAGCUUGCUCUUACGGGUGGCGAGUGGCGGACGGGUGAGGAAUACAUCGGAAUCUACUUUUUCGUGGGGGAUAACGUAGGGAAACUUACGCUAAUACCGCAUACGACCUACGGGUGAAAGCAGGGGAUCUUCGGACCUUGCGCGAUUGAAUGAGCCGAUGUCGGAUUAGCUAGUUGGCGGGGUAAAGGCCCACCAAGGCGACGAUCCGUAGCUGGUCUGAGAGGAUGAUCAGCCACACUGGAACUGAGACACGGUCCAGACUCCUACGGGAGGCAGCAGUGGGGAAUAUUGGACAAUGGGCGCAAGCCUGAUCCAGCCAUACCGCGUGGGUGAAGAAGGCCUUCGGGUUGUAAAGCCCUUUUGUUGGGAAAGAAAAGCAGCAGGUUAAUACCCCGCUGUUCUGACGGUACCCAAAGAAUAAGCACCGGCUAACUUCGUG
rnacentral:rRNA from 1 species